GCCUGGGUGGCUCAGUCGGUUAAGCGUCUGACUUCGGCUCAGGUCAUGAUCUCACGAUCCGUGAGUUUGAGUCCCGCGUCAGGCU
rnacentral:tRNA from 1 species